UACCCGCAGCACAAGUGGUGGUCAUUAUUAUUGGGCCUAAAGCGUCCGUAGCUGGCUUGUUAGAUGCCUGGGUAAAUCGAUGCGCUCAACGCAUCGAACUCCGGGUAGACCGGCAAGCUUGGGACCGGGAGAGGCGUGAGCUACUCGAGGGGUAGGGGUAAAAUCCUGUAAUCCUCCGGGGAGGACCAGUGGCGAAGGCGUCACGCUAGAACGGCUCCGACAGUGAGGGACGAAGCCCUGGGGCGCAAACCGG
rnacentral:rRNA from 1 species